AGCAGUAGCCACGGUAAUACGUAGGGUGCAAGCGUUAAUCGGAAUUACUGGGCGUAAAGCGUGCGCAGGCGGUUCGCUAAGACAGAUGUGAAAUCCCCGGGCUUAACCUGGGAACUGCAUUUGUGACUGGCGGGCUAGAGUACGGCAGAGGGGGGUAGAAUUCCACGUGUAGCAGUGAAAUGCGUAGAGAUGUGGAGGAAUACCGAUGGCGAAGGCAGCCCCCUGGGCCAAUACUGACGCUCAUGUACGAAAGCGUGGGGAGCAAACAGGAUUAGAUACCCGGGUAGUCCCUGUCUCUUAUAA
rnacentral:rRNA from 1 species